UACGUAGGGGGCAAGCGUUGUCCGGAUUUAUUGGGCGUAAAGCGUCCGCAGGUGGUUUUCCAAGUCUGCUGUUAAAGCGCGAGGCUUAACCUCGUACAGGCAGUGGAAACUGGAUGACUAGAGUAUGGUAGGGGUAGCGGGAAUUCCCAGUGUAGCGGUGAAAUGCGUAGAUAUUGGGAAGAACACCAGCGGCGAAAGCGCGCUACUGGGCCAUUACUGACACUCAGGGACGAAAGCUAGGGGAGCGAAAGGG
rnacentral:rRNA from 1 species